GGGCCAUAGCUCAUUGGGAGAGCAUCUGCUUUCCAUGCAGAAGACCCUAGUUUUAAUCCCUGGCAUCUCCA